GUGUACAACUUUAUUCUGUGUGGAGACCUGCUCGCGCGCUGAAGGGAUCCCCGCAGACGGGUUUUGUGUUUUACUAAUUCUCUGUGUUCCCCCCGUCGAAUGUGUGUUGUGUUGUGUAAAACAACCGUUUGUGCGAAAAAAAAAAGAACAGUUUGUUGUCGCGCCGAGUUUCUUCGGCGGCGGGUGAAUGUGCAUAAUAAGUGCGCGAGUGGAAGCAGUCACCGAUUCCGGAGGAUUGGAAUUAAAAUUCGCGAACCCGCGACGGUCGGAUUAAGGUGCUGUUCGAGUUCGAGUGAAGUGAGCAGCGUUUGUGAAAGUCCUGAAAAAUUAUUCGAGGAGAAGAAGCAAGGAAAAAAAAGUAAUAGAGGUGCCUACUUGGAUGUGUGUGAUUUACUUGCCUACGAGGAGCGGCAUAAAGAGAGAGAGGCAGCCGAUGGUUGUGUGAAAAUCCUGUGUAUUUCGAAGAUCGCUUAUCGCCGUUUUUGCGGCUGCUCCAAUAUUGGGCGGCACUAAUCAAAUUAUUGGCCGCGUGUUAUUGGUUUCAAGAUUUUAAUCACAUACACGCAGAAGGAAGAAAAAAUUGUGCCGUGAAUUAUUUUUCCUUUAAAGAUCCAUUCCCAUUGCUUUGUGUGAAGUGAUCGAUCGUCAAGCCAAAAGGAUGUGAUAACUUGCCGCGAUAAAGCGCAUUUUAAAUGUGAUCUUUAAUUUGUAAUCUGUUUCUAUCGGCUUUCGAUUCGUGUCAAACAAACGUGAAUCCGCAAGUGAAAGAUGCUCGUUGUCGUCACCUUCAUUCGGUCCGAUCUGUCGGUGUGAAUCGCGCGUGAAUGCCCCAGAAACGGAAGCGGAAACGCAAGAAGCGACCGAAAAAAAUAUCUCGCGACCGUUAUUAAUCGCGCGCCCUCACUUCUGCUCGGAGCGCUGCGCACUGGAUCUACUGGAGCGCGUAAUGAUCCUGCUGGGCUUGCUGUUGGCCCUGGGACUGGUGGAGACGACCAGUCCGCUGAGUGUAGCCCAGCAGCAGCAUCAGCAACACCAACAGCAUCAUCCACAGCAACAACAGGGUCACUUCCCGUCGAAGAUUGGCAGCCCGGAUGGGCUGAUCAUCGAAGAUUCGCCGAUCGCUCCCUCCUCGCAGUACAUCGUCCAGAAGGACGUCUGGAACGGCGCUAGCAGUAGUAGUAGUAGUAAUCAUCACAAUCAUCUACACAAUCAGUACCCAUCAUCCCCUAGUGGUUCUUCCAUUAGUAGUGGUAGCGAUGUCCCCCAUCGGUCCCGACUAGUGCCGGAUAGUAACGACACUUUCCAUUCUCUCGUCCCAGGGGUAGUCGGAGGUGCUAAUGGUGGUGCUGUUGGUGCAGCGGAAGGAGGCGGUGGAGGGAACAUCGGCUUUGGCGGGUUCUUUGACGGGAGCGAAUGGGCCCUGAAGGAGUGCUUUUCCCUCCGGCGGACCCACCAUCUGUACUACCAGAUCGGGAAUGGUCUGUUCUUUCUGGCCUUCCUCGCGCCGAACGCUCCCUUCGGAAUGCUGUGGCUGCGGUGCCUUGUGAUCGCUGGCUGCGUGCUGAUGAUCGUUUGGGGAUGGCAGGUGGAGUGCACCCUGGAUGCCGUCAUCUGGGCCAGUCUUUUUCUGGUGUUCAACGCGAUCUACGUGGGAGCGCUGCUCUGCAAGCUGAGGCCGGUCCGAUUCGAGAAGGAGAUCGAAGCGGUAUAUGUGGCACUCUUCAAACCCCUCCGAGUGUCCCGCCAUCAGUUCAAGAAGGUGCUGAACUGCAUGAAACUGGUCCGAUCGCUCAAGUACCAGGAGAUCUACGCCCAGGAGAAGGUGACCAAGGUGGACAGUCUGUCACUGGUGCUUUCGGGGAAACUUGUCGUAUCCCAGAAUCAAAAGGCGCUGCACAUAGUUUUUCCCCAUCAGUUCCUGGACUCGCCAGAAUGGUUCGGAGUGUCUACGGAUGACUACUUCCAGGUGUCCAUAAUGGCGAUGGAAGAGUCCCGCGUCCUGAUCUGGCAUCGGGACAAGCUGAAACUGUCAAUUAUGGCGGAACCAUUUCUUCAGGCUGUGUUCGAUCACAUCCUCGGACGAGACGUCGUCAAAAAGCUCAUGCAGGUCACGCAGGUCAGCGAAACGAUGGCCCAGAGCAAUGGGUACAUCUCGUCCGGCUACGGGGAUGAUGCGGAGGACAAACCGAUGCUGGUGAUGAAAAACAACAAAUCGAGUGACAGUAGCGGCGGAGGUGGUGGGGGUGGACACGGGAUAACGGCACUCAUCAAUCGACAGCUGCAGGAGGAGAGCAUCCCGCUGCUGUUGGACCCUGCCGCUGAUAAUCCUUCGCCACUAAUGUCACUCCACAUGCGACUGCUCCACUCGGAUGAGAACAAGUUCAUCAAGAAGAUCUACGACGUGUGACGUUCGCGUUUUGGAUAGCAACAAGGUGCCGAACAGAAAGGAUCCUAACGACGAACAUUGCCGAUACACAUCACACUCAUGCUGUCUAGUCCUUUAAUAUUUUUUUUUUGUUUGUUUGAGUUUUAUUUUCACUGAUCCUUUCGCAGUGGAUUUUUUUUCUUUUGCAAAUUCAUCGUUUAAUGUGUGCAAUGUAAAAACGGAACAACGACUCAUACGUAACCUCAAACAUCGUUGAUACAAGGAAGCGAAGGAGAACCCAUCUAAUCGGCGGCGCCUUUGUACACAAUUCUUGUUUUUCGUUUGUCGACUGCUUUUGAAACACUUUUUUCGCUCUGCCUAGGAUUUCCAAAUACUACUACUGUGCAGCAGCGGAUCCGAAUGCGUGGCGUCUCGGCCGAAUCGACGAAGGGGACCACGAAACGGCCGUUUAAUAUUAGGCCUGGCGGUGUGCCCCCCAACUGGACAGCGGCGACGGCGGUUUUGAUGGUCUGUACGGAGUUUCGCCGCUGCCCGACGUAAGCUGGACCAACCUCGUGGAAUCAACACCAAUGGAGGGCACCGGCUGUUUAGGUCCUCUGGAAUGACUUUCGUUGGCAUCCAGCGUCUACCCCGAGAGGUGACUUCGCAGGUAGACCAGAGCGUUUUUUGAAGACGGUACAAAAUUGAUUCGUCAGCUUCAGAGAGAUGGUUAGCUUCUAUUUUCUGCGUACUUUUUUGUGUUAUUGUUCACAUUCGCUGUUCCAUUAUAAAUAUAUAGAUAUUUCCAAAACAGAAGCAAUCCAUUGUUCGUUUGUGGUUUAGCCUUCUUUUCGACCGAACGAACCUUGGAUUAGUCGUCACUGUGACCUGCUAUUCAAAACAAAAAAAAUGAAUCAAUCUAAACACAGGUGCAGGACAAACAAACAAAAUCAAAAAUUUUACUAAACCCAGUCAUUGUAAAUAAGAGAGAGAGAAAGAGAGCGAGGAAGAAGAAAAGGAUAACGACAGCGGAAGACAUAGAAUCAACCAACAAAUUAAAUUAGUAAAUUAUUAUUAAAAGCCAGGUGGGUUAUUGUUAGAAAUACAACAAAACGAAACACAAAAAAAACAAAUUCUUGAUGUUUGAGGUUACUCCGAUAGAAGUUUAAACAAAGAAAGAAACAAACAAACCCAAUACUGAUAUUUGGUGCGAGAGGUGGAACACUAAUAGCGUUAGGUUAGGGCGUAACAAACGGAAUUAAGCGAAAGAGGGCGUGACAAAAAGCUGGACUGUUGUUUUACGUAAUUAUAGUUUACUGGAACACAAUUGAAUGUUAGUUAUAACAAACUGUGCAGAAUGAAAGAGGGGCCCUCAUAAUAUAGUCAUAGAGAGACAGACAGAACUCCGGUGUUAUCAUAUUAGGUAGGCAGGAUUAUUAACAAGAAUUAAACGGAAAGCUAAACCAAAAGAGGAAAAGAGGAGGAGAGUCACUGGACGGAAGCGGAUAUGCGGAGUGUUGGAAUGAUCUUCCGGUUUUAUAAAUGGAUGGUGAUGAGCGUAAGUGUGAGAGAGAGAGAGUGUGUGUGUGUGUGUGUGUGUGUGUGUGUGUGUGUGUGACGUGAAUAAAAAACAAUUAUGUAGGUAAAGUAAUGGAAGAAAAAACAAAAAAGAGAAACAAUAAAAUUGAAAGCAAAUUAAUCUAGUAUCUAAUAAGCAAGAAUAAACAAAACCAUGUGACAUAGGUGUUAAUGAGAAAAGGUGAGGAUCAAAGAGAAGGAAAGCGAACGGAAUCGUCCUGAUUUAGAAUAAAGAAACCGUGAGAUAAGAAUGAAAAGCUAUUUUGAGAAGUAGAAA